AUGACCGAACUGGUCACAGAACUUGGUCUCAAGAAAAUGGGUUUCCAUCACGAUGAUCUGUUUAAAGAACUAGAAAAAUUGGUGAAACAAGAUGACGAACAAUCAAAUAGGAAAUCAGUUAAAAUAUUUUUCCUUAUUUUUUUCCACAACAUUGUCUGUGGAACAACCUCCCCUACCUUCUGCAAACAAGCCAUUAUGGUCAAGGACUUGGACUAUCCAGAAAUGGCAAAGAUGGAUUUCUGCCAGGUAAUCGUCGAAAGUAUUAGGGAAGGAGCAAAGACAUGGAAGAAGCACAGCUUGUUGCCCCAGGAAGAAAAGAACAAAAAGCAUCUCAAUGAUUUGGCGCAGGGACCAGUAAUAAUGUACCUCGACUGCCUGCUGUUGCCACCGACACAAAACAAAUGCGGAAGAUUGCCAAGACAAUGGACAAGACAUCGUUACCGCGAGAAAACCACCUAA
rnacentral:rRNA from 1 species